GGUCAGUGCAUGUAUUUACUAUCAGUGUGUUGUUGUGACUGAGGAGCGAUGGACGCAGAACGACAGCCCUUGCUGCAGUGCAGUUAUGAUGUGAGGUGUCGAUUUAGGCCACUCAGUCGAGAAGAAGUCUUAAUAGCUCGCCAAGAGGUGACCUGGCGGCGCACCCGGUUCUGCCUAAUCCUUAUGUUCUGGGCAAUAAUGGCGAUGUUCCUGUCCAUAAUCACGUGCAUGCUGCUGACGUCAGAGCGCUGUCAUGACGCGCUGGCACCCACAGUGCCACCAGUGCAUAUGACCUUCGCGCCCUUGGUGUAUAGGAAAGUUGAUGACCAUGUUUAUGCGUUAUAAUUUAAGGACUUUAUCUUAUUUCUUAGAAUUGGGUUGGCGCUGUAUUUAGGCAAUUCGUAGUACCUAGCGAAAUAUAUUUGGUCCUUCGAGCCGGAUCUGCGUUUACUAUUAUGUGAUGGUUAGAUCUGCGAAUAAUUAAUUGAAGUAACAAAGUUUAGAUAAGUAUAUAUGUCAUAUCUUUUAUUAUAUGACACAAUAUUGAAAUGAAAAAUGCAAAUUAAUGUGUAAAUCAGUUUAAGCAGUGUAAUUUCAAGGGAAUGAAUGAUACUUAUUUUUUAUAUAUUUGUUUUAUAUUAAGUUAUUCUGCGUGUUGGAUCCUUUGAGCCAGAUCUAUAAAAAACAAUAUGUCAAAGAAAAAUAAAUUGUAACAACUAUUUAUUUAUAAUCAGUUUGUACAAAAUGCUUCUUUGUAUAUAAAAUAUGUUGACUUAUGUUAUAAUACUCUUGUCAUAUUUUUAUGUACAUUUUAUCUGUAGGUAAAUGCCCACUCUGUCUUUUAAUGCACUGUUAUUCUUAUAAUAUAUGUUUAGUUUUUAAUAACAAUAUUUUGUAUAUCAUUGGGUUUAAUAACUGUCUUCUGUAAUAUAGGAUGAAAGUUAAAGGGUGAAACGAAACAAAAUCUAAGACAGAAAAUAUUAGAGUUGCCAAUAUUCUUAUAAUUUUUUUGUAUGUAUAGAAUUAUUUUUUGUAUAUUUUCAUGUGUAUGAGCGUAUCUUUGACUUAGUUUCAAUUAACUUCACCCUUAACUUUUAUUUAUUCUCUUAAAUUUCAUAUUUAUAAUUGAUAUAAGUGAAGUCUUAUACACGUAUUAAAUUAAUAAAACUCAACGAGUUAAAGCAAAACAAUCUUCCAAUAAUAUUUCCUAUAUAUCGCACUCUUAGAACUAAGUGACCUAGCUCAAAAUUUUUAUAUUUUCUCAAUUUUGUUAAAAAACGAACUUACAUAAAAAUACAAAUUUAUAGAAUAGAAACAUAUUCUCACUUUCGCCGCGACCGCCCAAUUCACUGAUAUUUAUAUUGUUUUCAAAUCUUUUUUAUUUGUUUCCCACAAUCUUUUUUUGAGUUAGAUCACAUUAGUUCUAAGGGUGUGAUACGUUAAAUUUUAAUAACACUCAAAUAAACGAAUUUAAACUAAA